rnacentral:tRNA from 1 species
UGGGGCAUCGCCAAGCGGUAAGGCAGCGGGUUUUGAUCUCGCCAUACCUAGGUUCGAAUCUAGUGCCCCAGCCA